AGCGAACGCUGGCGGCAGGCCUAAUACAUGCAAGUCGAGCGCCCCUUCGGGGGAGCGGCGGACGGGUGAGUAACGCGUGGGAAUAUGCCCUUUGGUACGGCACAACUGAGGGAAACUUCAGCUAAUACCGUAUGUGCCCUUCGGGGGAAAGUUUUAUCGCCAUUGGAGUAGCCCGCGUUGGAUUAGCUAGUUGGUGGGGUAAAGGCCCACCAAGGCGACGAUCCAUAGCUGGUCUGAGAGGAUGAUCAGCCACACUGGGACUGAGACACGGCCCAGACUCCUACGGGAGGCAGCAGUAGGGAAUCUUGCGCAAUGGGCGAAAGCCUGACGCAGCCAUGCCGCGUGAAUGAUGAAGGUCUUAGGAUUGUAAAAUUCUUUCACCGGGGAAGAUAAUGACGGUACCCGGAGAAGAAGCCCCGGCUAACUUCGUGCCAGCCGCCGCCGUAACAC
rnacentral:rRNA from 1 species